UACGUAGGGGGCAAGCGUUGUCCGGAAUCAUUGGGCGUAAAGCGCGUGUAGGCGGUUCGGUAAGUCGACUGUGAAAGUCCAGGGCUCAACCCUGGGAUGCCGGUCGAUACUGCCGGACUAGAGUUCGGAAGAGGCGAGUGGAAUUCCCGGUGUAGCGGUGAAAUGCGCAGAUAUCGGGAGGAACACCAAUGGCGAAGGCAGCUCGCUGGGACGUUACUGACGCUGAGACGCGAAAGCGUGGGGAGCAAACAGG
rnacentral:rRNA from 1 species